AUUGAACGCUGGCGGCAUGCCUUACACAUGCAAGUCGAACGGUAACGCGGGGCAACCUGGCGACGAGUGGCGAACGGGUGAGUAAUAUAUCGGAACGUGCCCAGUAGUGGGGGAUAGCCCGGCGAAAGCCGGAUUAAUACCGCAUACGACCUGAGGGUGAAAGCGGGGGAUCGCAAGACCUCGCGCUAUUGGAGCGGCCGAUAUCAGAUUAGGUAGUUGGUGGGGUAAAGGCCUACCAAGCCGACGAUCUGUAGCUGGUCUGAGAGGACGACCAGCCACACUGGGACUGAGACACGGCCCAGACUCCUACGGGAGGCAGCAGUGGGGAAUUUUGGACAAUGGGCGCAAGCCUGAUCCAGCCAUGCCGCGUGUGGGAAGAAGGCCUUCGGGUUGUAAACCACUUUUGUCAGGGAAGAAACGGUCGGGUCUAAUAAAUCUGGCUAAUGACGGUACCUGAAGAAUAAGCACCGGCUAACUACGUGCCAGCCGCCGCAGUAACAC
rnacentral:rRNA from 1 species